GGCCUAUUAUUACCACUAUUAUUGAUAUUAUUUAAUAUUUAAAUAUUUAAUCAUUAAUUAACUUUUGUAAUUUAUACUAAUAAUUAUUCUCUUCUCUCUUUUUUAGUGUCGAUUGUCGUCUGAUUAUUGUAAGUGAUAAUUCUACACAUCCUGAUAAGUCAGAAAUCGCUGAUGCAACUGAAAGCAUUUUAAUUUGUAUACUCAUGUUCUCGCCUCUUUCAUUGUGUGUUAACAGCAGUUAAAUACACCCAAAGGCUCUUUUAAGAGCCCAGGACAGAACGUUUUUGGCUUUGUAAGUAUGUUUGAUUUUUUUCUUCUUUAAGACACAUCCUGCAUCUCCGAUUUGUCAUGCUCCUCAUAACCUUAGUCAAAAAACACUGAUGAAACUGAAUGCAUUUUAAUUUAUAUCAUAUUCAGACAUGUUUCUAUCUCCUUGUGUUUCUUACUUGUUAUUUGGUUACUAGUAUUAGUAAUACCAAUAAUAAUAAUAACAGUUAUUAUGUUUUGUUAUUAUUUUAGUUUAAUUAUAAUUAAUAAUAAUACAAAUAAUAAUAAUAAUUAGCAUAUUACUAUUGUUAUUAUUAUGAUUAUAUUCAAGAAUGACCAUGUAUUUUACUGACUUUAUAUGGUUUCUUACUUGUUAUUGUAAAGUUUUAUCAGAUGCACUGCUGCCUGCAGUCUUCUCAUCUUCAUGCACUUUCAGAAGCUAUUAAUAGUUCAAGAGCCUUAAUUAACUUUGUAAUUUAUACUAUAAAUAAUUAUUCUCUUGUCUCUCUUUUUCAGUGUCAAUUGUCGUCUGAUUAUUGUAAGUUAUAAUUCUACACAUUCUGAGAAGUCAGAAAUCGCUGAUGCAACUGAAAGCAUUUUAAUUUGUAUACUCAUGUUCUCUCCUCUUUCAUUGUGUGUUAACAGCAGUUAAAUACACCCAAAGGCUCUUUUAAGAGCCCAGCACAGAACGUUUUUGGCUUUGUAAGUAUAUGUAUGACUAACAAUCAGACACAUUUGGGUUUCUUUAAAUAACUGAAGAUUUUUUUUUCUUCUUUAAAAUGCAUCUUGCAUCUAUGAUUUGUCAUGUUCAUCAUAACCUUAGUCAAAAACCACUGAUGAAACUGAAUGCAUUUUAAAUUAUAUUCAGACAUUUCUACUUUCUCUCCCCUUUCCUUGUGUCAACAGCAGCUACGCAAGUCAUCUUAGACUUUCAGCCUCUUGACCCAUCAGUGCCAAAGCUUCAGCAAGCACUGUGUGCUCAGCUGCUCUGGUCUCCACAGUUCAGGGAAAGAUGGACACAAAAAAUAUGCAGUGGUGGAAUUUACAGAGGACAGUGCAGUGGAACUAGUCCCAACCUCGUGGCUGGAAGAGACCAAAGAGGGAACGUUCUGUUACUGGACAUUUGGAAACAUAAGGCAGCUUGUAAAAAACUGCACAAUGCCAGACAAAGGAAAGUGGAGGCGGUGUCUAAUAAAAAAAAUGUGGCUAAGAACAG